rnacentral:rRNA from 1 species
AUUGAACGCUGGCGGCAUGCUUUACACAUGCAAGUCGAACGGCAGCGCGGGCUUCGGCCUGGCGGCGAGUGGCGAACGGGUGAGUAAUAUAUCGGAACGUACCCAGGAGUGGGGGAUAACGUAGCGAAAGUUACGCUAAUACCGCAUACGUCCUACGGGAGAAAGCGGGGGAUCGCAAGACCUCGCGCUCAUGGAGCGGCCGAUAUCUGAUUAGCUAGUUGGUGGGGUAAAGGCUCACCAAGGCAACGAUCAGUAGCUGGUCUGAGAGGACGACCAGCCACACUGGGACUGAGACACGGCCCAGACUCCUGCGGGAGGCAGCAGUGGGGAAUUUUGGACAAUGGGGGCAACCCUGAUCCAGCAAUGCCGCGUGAGUGAAGAAGGCCUUCGGGUUGUAAAGCUCUUUUGUCAGGGAAGAAGGGGAGCUUGCUCCUUGACGGUACUUGCAGAAAAAGGACCGGCUAACUACGUGCCAGCAGCCGCAGUAACAC